UGUAUUCGACUCUCUUCUCUCUCUAUCUCACACCUGCUGUAUUCGACUCCUCUCUCUCUCUCUAUCCACCUGCUGUAUUCGACUCUCUGGCUCUCUCUAUCUAUCACACCUGCUGUUUCGAACUCUGCUCUCUCUCUAUCACCCUGCUGUAUUCAACUCUCUCUCUCUAUCACACCUGCUUGUCUGUAUUCGGACUCUCUCUCUCUCUCUCACACCUGCUGUAUUCGACUCUCUUCUUCUCUCUAUCACACCUGCUGUAUUCGACUCUCGUCUCUCUCAUCACACCUGCUGUAUUCGACUCUCUCUCUCUCUAUCACACCUGCUGUAUUCGACUCUCUGACUCUCUCUCUCUAUCACACCUGCUGUAUUCAACCUCUCUUCUUCUAUCACACCUGCUGUAUUCGACUCUCUCGCUCUCUCUCUAUCACACCUGCUGUAUUCGACUCUCUCUCUCUCUAUCACACCUGCUGUAUUCGACUCUCUCUCUCUAUCACACCUGCUGUAUUCGACUCUCUCUCUCUAUCACAUCUGCUGUCUCGACCUCUGAAUGCUCGGCUAUGAAAAGCCAACUGACAUAAACUCCUGAGGUACUGACCUGUUGCACCCUCUACAACCACUGUGAUUAUUAAUUGACCCUGCCGGUCAUCUAUGAACCUUUGAACAUUUUGAAGAACAAUCUGGCCUUAAAUGGCCAUGUUAUAAUCUCCACCCGGCACAGCCAGAAGAGGACGGGCCACCCUCAGAUUCUGGUUCCUCUCUCGGGUUCUUUCUAGGUUCCUGCCUUUAUAGGGAGUUUUUUCUAGCCACCGUGCUUCUACAUCUGCAUUGCUUGCUGUUUGGGGUUUUAGGCUGGGUUUCUGUAUAGCACUUUGUGACAUGAUGUAAAAAAGGCUUUAUAAAUACAUUUGAUUGAUUGAUUGAUUGGUCAAAAGUAGUGCACUAUGUAGGGAAUAGGGUGCCAUUUGGAUGCA
rnacentral:lncRNA from 1 species